AGGAUGUGUGGACAACACAGAGUGUCACAUAGCCUUGACACAACAGGCCAAUCGCUAAUGUAAAGCAGUGUAGCUACCAAUUUGUGCACCCUGAGGAUUGGACCCAAAAAGCAGCAAUCUCACUCAGGGAUUAGCUGUAUAAUCUGCAAGUUGGAGCCACCAGUUUAAACUGAAAUGUGUAUACUGGAAUGGUGUAUGUAAGCUGUAUGAACUGGCUACGACAUUUUUGCCUCUCCCAUGAGAACUGCAAGCUCUGAUCACUCAAAUUACAGUUCUUAGAAGAAUAACAAGACUCGGAUGCAGAUCUCAGGUCAGAUGUUCUGAUUUGGAGCAAGGAUUGAGCCUUGGUUCUUCCUGCCACAGCUGAGAACGAGAGCCUGAUGCUUUUUAUUCUGAAGAAAAUCUUACUCUUCAAGUAAUCUCAUGGACUCCAGUGUGACUAUGAAUGGGGCACCUUGGCAAGAGACUUGCAGAUAUUUAAAACCCCUAAUUAAUGCCAGG
rnacentral:lncRNA from 1 species